GAUAUGGUUAUAAUUAGCAACACGUGAAAUUAACAGUUAAUUAUUGAAAACACCGGAUGAGAACGGUCCAACUUCUUAAUUAAAGCGGGGAUCUUGUUCGCAGCUCUGGCCAAAUUCACACCGACGAGAAAGAAUGGUUUAAUGAAACUGUCUCUGUUUCCACUAAACGAUUACGCACGACGGUUAAACUGAUUUAAGUUGGUCAGUUUCACACAUUUCUGCACAAAUCCAAAUAAAUGAGUACGUGGAGUCGGUUCGAUUCACUUAAUUUACCUUCCACCCAGCAGAGGCAGCACUGGGCGAACUGUGCGCAAAGUAGCGCAAAUUACGCGCCACGAAACACCGCGCUCUAGAACGAGAGGGGGGCGUUUUAUAUUAGCAAUUAGGAAUGAAAGAUAACGCGUUGUCCCGAAGGCCACUUUGCCCCUAACUUAAUUACUCGUCUACCGCUCCACGCUGUUUUGGCACCUCGCACCAAGUUUGCGCCAAACUAGUUUCCGCCAACAUUGUCCAAAGAACCAUUUAUGAAGGUGAACGAUGAACCCAAAUCCAUGCUCCCAAACCUCGGACUGCAGCUUCAGGACGCCAGUGAGAGCGUCUCCUUCAGUUCAAUCAGACACCUGCCGCUGCCGAGGCGACCUGAUGUGGACAGAUGUGUUCCAGUGCCUCUGCCUCUGUGGAGUUAACGAUGUGCGCCGGCCUCACUCCCAUGACUUUGACACGAGGCUUCGUCUGUGACACACUUCAGGUGGCAGUGUGGUACAUCCAGUACAACGGGUCUGGAGCUGUCUGAGGAAACCAGUGGCUUCAACCAGACUGUGUCCACGUCUGCUGGCUUCCGGAGGCGCGUGGUGCGGCCCGAUCUCGGUUUGGUGACUGAUCUCGGUGACCCAGCUGUCGCUCUCCCUCUGUGGCCAAUGAAUCCUCAGCCCCAGCUCUCGCACUGCAUCCGUCAACAGUCAGUGUGACUGAAAGACAGCUUGACAGCGGGCGAGCCACUGCAUCGCCGGGCGCAGUGGCGGCAACGCUGAAUCACACUUCUUCAUUCGGAAACCAGCAGCUUUGUAAAAGGACUCGUCCUUUGUGGUUUAUUUUUUCUUUUGCCUCAUCACCAGAUUAUGAAC
rnacentral:lncRNA from 1 species